rfam:Oryza glumipatula chromosome 1, whole genome shotgun sequence.
CAGACUUGCAGUUUUACACCGUUUAUGUUCAAUGUUUGACCGUCCAUCUUAUUUGAAUUUUUUUAUGAUUAGUAUUUUUAUUGUCAUUAGAUGAUAAAACAUAAGCAGUAUUUUAUGUGUGACUAUUUUUUUAAUUUUUUCAUAAAAUUUUCAAAUAAGACGGACGAUCAAACGUUGGACAAAAACCCACGACUAGACUUAAA